GUGCUCACUUCAGCACAUAUGCUAAAAUUGGAACUACACAAAGAAGAUAGCUUAGCCCCUGUGCAAAGAUGAUAUGCAAAUUUGUGAAGCAUUCCAUAUUUUU